UGGGGAAUAUUGCACAAUGGAGGGAACUCUGAUGCAGCGACGCCGCGUGAACGAAGAAGGCUUUCGAGUCGUAAAGUUCUUUUAUAUGGGAAGAUAAUGACGGUACCAUAAGAAAAAGCCCCGGCUAACUACGUGCCAGCAGCCGCGGUAAUACGUAGGGGGCUAGCGUUGUCCGGAAUCACUGGGCGUAAAGGGUUCGCAGGCGGAAAUGAAAGUCAGGUGUAAAAGGCAGUAGCUAAACUACUGUAAGCAUUUGAAACUGCAUAUCUUGAGAAGAGUAGAGGUAAGUGGAAUUUUUAGUGUAGCGGUGAAAUGCGUAGAUAUUAAAAAGAAUACCGGUGGCGAAGGCGACUUACUGGGCUCAUUCUGACGCUGAGGAACGAAAGCGUGGGUAGCAAACAGG
rnacentral:rRNA from 1 species